rnacentral:lncRNA from 1 species
AGAAUUUAUUUUAUCUCUACUUCAAAGCACGGACAUUCAGCCGUAUUAAAGAGGAUUUAUUGACAUGUCCGGUGAAGGAACAACGUAACGCAAACAUUCAUUGGUACGUUUACAUUGAAGGUGAUCGAAUGCUCAAGAGAAGUUAUCGACCUCAAGUUCGGCUUUGGAGAUCCAGCUUUCCUUCAUCACCAGCAGGAUACCGCUGACAAGUUAGUGAGCGGGGUGAAUCUUGAAUCUGCCGACGCUCAGGAAAUUGGGAUAACUUAUGAGAUGAUGCAGAACAUAAUUGAAAACGUCCUCAUGGAGAGCGGCUAUUACGACAUGUCUCCCUGUGCGAGAAACCGGACGGUUCCUCUGGGUCCUAUUGGCACGUUGCCGGCGUCUGGUGUCAAUUUUGGUCCCUCUAAGAGGGGUACAAGCUCUUAAUAUGGAGUGGAAUUUUUUAUACCAUCUAUAAUGUCUAGGAAAAUAAAAAGGCUGCCUUUAAAUGUAGCAAAUUGUCAACUACUUUAAAAUCGAAAGUGGAUAAGCAGUUUUGGAGCAAUUUUGUUCGAAUAAUUUGCGAUUGGAGGUAUUUUCAAUAUUUGAUAAAACAACUUCCUUUGGCAGCGUUUUUAUUUGAAAGCCGUCUUGGAUGGAAAGCGAGAUUCCGUUUUAUGUAAAUGUUUGUACAGAACAAACCUAAUUUAUUUUUUUAGCAGACGUUUAUUUAAAAAGCGAUAGAUGUAAAUGGAAAAGAGAGUUUUAUCUAAACUGCGCAGGUGUACGCGAAUUUUUCAGUCGCUUGAAAAGUUGAACUUUUCAUGUAGAGUCACCCCAACCACUAGUGUAGAUUUUUAAAAGAAUAAUAAUGAUCGUAUCAGACAUCUUGCAGAUUGAAUGUCCCUUGCUCUGGUGUCCAGAAUUUGGACACGAAAGACGCCGUGAAAAUUAAUACAGGUAAUCGUAUGAAUGCGAAUGCAAUUAAAGAUUUCCACUACGAGUGAUACUUGGAAAUUCUCUCAAAAUUGCGCGAGCCUUUAGGUGAGUGUAAUGUGGAAGAAUUUAGAAAUCCUUAAUUGCUCUGGUUUUCAUACGGCUACUCAUUUUUUUUAUAUGACUGAGAAAAUUACGAACGCGUACGGGUUAAUUUGUACUGCAGUGCAAAUCAAAAAUUGACGACAAAUUAGCCUGCUCUCAGCCAAUCACAGUGAAGUAAUUUUCUCAGUCAUAUAGUAAGAAAAUUAAGGAGAUGAGAAGAGAGGUAUUUAUUAAUUUCUGUGGAUACUUUUGUUUUCAAUUUUCCUCAAUUUCACAUUAGUUUUGAAGAGAAAUUCAAUGUGGAUGUUAGGGGUUCAACGUCAUUGUAUUCCAGUGGAAGUCAAGUCCACGAUUAUAACUGAGAGCUUUCUGGUGCUGUGCAGCAAUACAAUAGGCCACUUCCGAGUUAACUUGUGCCUCUGUUUCAAAACGAAUAUUCGUGCAAAACCUUGCAUUCUCUAUUUUUUAAUUGCCCAUAAUUCACUCUGUUUGCCCCCAAGUUUUGUAUAAAAUAUUGUUGUGAAAUGCUCUUGGGAGGUCUGCAUAUUCCCAAGAGCAUUUCACAUCAAUAGCUUAUGCCAAAUUUGGGGGACAAACAGAGUGAAUUAUGGGCAAUUGGAAAAUAGAGAAUACUGAAAUGAGUUUGAUUUGCAUGAAAAUGAACAUGUAGGCGGAACACACGUGAUUGGUUCACACGAAGGCUCAUUUUGACACAGAGGCAAAAGGCAACUCGGAAGUGGUCUUUUGGCGUAAUGUUUGUGAUAGCCUAACUGUCAGGUUCUUACGAAAUUAAGGGUAGAGGGGUAGGAAGUGUCGUCCUUCCCUCCCCUUAAGAAGGUCUGAUACUCGGGUUUUGUUUGUAAAAUGAAAAACAUUUUUGUCUCUAAUUUAUUCUCGAAAUACCGUUUUGAAGUGUGCAGAUUUCUACGAAUGUGUGGCAAAUGUUUCUGCUAGCCUUACUGACAAAUAUUUAAUCAUAAUAACGGGCUUCGCUAGCCAGAAUUAUGUCCCAAUUCCUUCAGGAAGAAAUUGGGAAUGAAACACAGCUUGAAUUUUACCUUCUUAACAAAUAAUGUAUCAAUGAAGCAUGACUUGUUUCAGGGUGUAGGUGUGAAUGCCCAGAGAUUUUAAAGUAUAGAGUGAAAUAGUAAAUAAAUCUUAUUUUUUAUUCCGUGAUUUAAAGACGAAGUAAAAAAUCAUUUCGACUAUA